UACGGGGUGGGCAAGCGUUGUUCGGAAUUACUGGGCGUAAAGGGCUCGUAGGCGGCCAACUAAGUCAGACGUGAAAUCCCCAGGCUCAACCUGGGAACUGCGUCUGAUACUGGAUGGCUUGAAUCCGGGAGAGGGAUGCAGAAUUCCAGGUGUAGCGGUGAAAUGCGUAGAUAUCUGGAGGAAUACCGGUGGCGAAGGCGGCAUCCUGGACCGGCAUUGACGCUGAGGAGCGAAAGCCAGGGGAGCAAACGGG
rnacentral:rRNA from 1 species